AUUCAGCUGAUGAGUCCCAAAUAGAACGAAACGCGCGUCAAAAUGGAU
rnacentral:hammerhead_ribozyme from 1 species